AACGAACGCUGGCGGCAGGCUUAACACAUGCAAGUCGAACGCCCCGCAAGGGGAGUGGCAGACGGGUGAGUAACGCGUGGGAAUCUACCGUACCCUACGGAAUAACGCAUGGAAACGUGUGCUAAUACCGUAUACGCCCUACGGGGGAAAGAUUUAUCGGGGUAUGAUGAGCCCGCGUUGGAUUAGCUAGUUGGUAGGGUAAAGGCCUACCAAGGCGACGAUCCAUAGCUGGUCUGAGAGGAUGAUCAGCCACAUUGGGACUGAGACACGGCCCAAACUCCUACGGGAGGCAGCAGUGGGGAAUAUUGGACAAUGGGCGCAAGCCUGAUCCAGCCAUGCCGCGUGAGUGAUGAAGGCCCUAGGGUUGUAAAGCUCUUUCACCGAUGAAGAUAAUGACGGUAGUCGGAGAAGAAGCCCCGGCUAACUUCGUGCCAGCCGCCGCCGUAACAC
rnacentral:rRNA from 1 species